rnacentral:rRNA from 1 species
UACGAAGGGGGCUAGCGUUGCUCGGAAUCACUGGGCGUAAAGCGCACGUAGGCGGACUCUUAAGUCGGUGGUGAAAUCCUGGAGCUCAACUCCAGAACUGCCUCGAUACUGGGAGUCUCGAGUUCGGGAGAGGUGAGUGGAACUGCGAGUGUAGAGGUGAAAUUCGUAGAUAUUCGCAAGAACACCAGUGGCGAAGGCGGCUCACUGGCCCGGUACUGACGCUGAGGUGCGAAAGCGUGGGGAGCAAACAGG